rnacentral:rRNA from 1 species
AUUUAACGAGAGUUUGAUCCUGGCUCAGGAUGAACGCUGGCGGCGUGCUUAACACAUGCAAGUCGAGCGAAGCACUUA